GAGGGUUCCGCUGAGCUGCUCACAAGAGCGUGCGGAGGCCCGCGGCCGGCCCUGGCCCCUGUGGUGGCAGCAACUGGCUGGCUUCCCGGGCGGCUACCUCCAGCUGCAGCUGUCGGUGCUAUUUGCAGCUCUCCACAUCCUGAGAGCUGGACGCCGAGGACCGCUCCCUGGAGGGCGUGCGUAAAAUGCAGCAGCGGAGCGGUGAGGACGAGAUUACCGGAAAAACUGGGAGCGGAGUCAGGCUCGUUCUGGAGCAGGGAGAGGCCUGGGAAGUUGCGAAACGUUGACCUGCAGGGUCUUGAGGAACUGUCGGCCUGGGCUGCCCCCGUGGGUCAUUGAACAUUAAUCAGCCACCAGUCCUCGUCCAAGCCAACCGAAAUAGAGUCAGCAGGCAGAAUGACGAAUACAGUUUGAAAGGGAACGAACUUCCUCCUAUUCUCUCCUUGGAAAGGCCUUUCCAGACUCUCGAACUCAUCCCUGUCACAUUACCCUGUUGUGUUAUCUUUGUGGGCCUGCGCAGCACCUGAAAUGAUCUGUCUUAGGGCCGAGUACAAUGCCCAGCUCGUUUGUAAAUGAGUGAAGAGUCCCCUACUAGCAGGCUGCCUACUCAUCAAUCAAGUAGUUGUUGGGUUUCUCAAUUUUACCUUUGGAGAUAUUGUCUUCGACCUACGGGAAGGAACUGGAUCUAUUUGAGGAGAGAAGAAACUAUGGAGGCCGGGAGCGGUGGCUCAUGUCUGUAAUCCUAGCACUUUGGGAGUCCGAGGUGGGUGGAUCGCCUAAUGUCAAGAGUUCAAGACCAGCCUGACCAACAUGGUAAAAUCCCGGCUCUACUAAGAAUACAAAAAAAAAACUAGCCGGGCAUGGUGGCGGGUGCCUGUAAUCCUAGCUACCUACUCACGAGGCUGAGGCAGGAGAAACGCUUGAACCUGGGAGGCAGAGGUUGCAGUGAGCCGAGAUCGCACCAUUGCACUCCAGCCUGGGCAACAAGAGUGAAACUCCAUCUCAAAAACAAUCAAAGAAACAAACAAAAAAAAAACUAUGGAGACCCAAGUUCCAGGGCCCUUGGGUGGAGAAUAAAUUUUAGGAAUUCCCUUGGAUAUCUGACAGUAGAAGCUACUCUUUGUAAGUCUGUUGCUGUGAAAUCACAACAUAGCUCAUUUAGCAGCGGGACAGCCCAUCUCUGGAAAAAAAUGAUGUGAGGGUGGAAUUACGCCUUGGGAGGCCAAGGAGGGAGGAUUGCUUGAGGCCAGGAAUUCAAGACCAGCCUGGACAACAUAGCAAGACUCUGUCUCUACAAAAAAAUAAUUAAAAAAAAAUUAGGCAUGGUGGUGCAUGCCUGUAGUCCUAACCUACUUGAGAGGCUGAGGUAGGAGGACUGCUUGAACCCAGGAAGUUUAGACUAUAGUGAGCCAUGAUUGUGCCACUGCACUCCAGCCUGGGUGACAGAGCAAGACUCUGUCUCAUAAAAAAAAAAAAAUACAAAAAGAGAUAUUCAUAAUAAAAUAAAAUGGAAAUAUUUUGAUGAUUUCUUAGUGAGAUUUUAAGAAUUGUUAUUAAUAGCCUACUAAGACCUAGAGGUAAGAACAAAUUAGAUUUCGCCUAAAAAUGAAGAUGUAGCAAAAAAUAAUAAAGAAAAAAAUGGCAUCUCUGUUUUUUGUUUUUUUUGUUUGUUUGUUUUUUUCAGACGGAGUCUUGCUCUUUUGCCCAGGCUGGAGUGCAGUGGCGUGAUUUCAGCUCUCUGCAACCUCUGCCUCCUGGGUUCAAGCAAUUUUCCUGCCUCAGCCUCCCGAGUAGCUGGGA